UGGGCUGUCGCCAAGCGGUAAGGCCCAGGACUUUGACUCCUGCAUUUCGCGGGUCCGAAUCCCGCCAGCCCAG
rnacentral:tRNA from 3 species